rnacentral:rRNA from 1 species
AUUGAACGCUGGCGGCAGGCCUAACACAUGCAAGUCGAACGGUAACAGGAAGCAGCUUGCUGCUUUGCUGACGAGUGGCGGACGGGUGAGUAAUGUCUGGGAAACUGCCUGAUGGAGGGGGUUAACUACUGGAAACGGUAGCUAAUACCGCAUAACGUCGCAAGACCAAAGAGGGGGACCUUCGGGCCUCUUGCCAUCGGAUGUGCCCAGAUGGGAUUAGCUAGUAGGUGGGGUAACGGCUCACCUAGGCGACGAUCCCUAGCUGGUCUGAGAGGAUGACCAGCCACACUGGAACUGAGACACGGUCCAGACUCCUACGGGAGGCAGCAGUGGGGAAUAUUGCACGAUGGGCGCAAGCCUGAUGCAGCCAUGCCGCGUGUAUGAAGAAGGCCUUCGGGUUGUAAAGUACUUUCAGCGGGGAGGAAGGGAGUAAAGUUAAUACCUUUGCUCAUUGACGUUACCCGCAGAAGAAGCACCGGCUAACUCCGUG